GAUGAACGCUAGCGGCAGGCUUAAUACAUGCAAGUUGAGGGGCAGCAUGAUAUACGCGAGUAUAUUGAUGGCGACCGGCGGACGGGUGAGUAAUAGGUAGGAGACCUACCUCAUACAGGGGGAUAGCAUAGAGAAAUCUGUGGUAAUACCCCAUGAGGUUAUAUGAAUAGAGGCAUAUAAUCAAAAGCAUAAGUGAUUAUGCGGUAUGAGAGGGGCCUACUGACCAUUAGCUAGUUGGUGAGGUAAGGGCUCACCAAGGCGAAAGAUGGUUAGGGGUUUUGAGAGAGAGACCCCCCACAUUGGAACUGAGAUACGGUCCAGACUCCUACGGGAGGCAGCAGUAGGGAAUAUUGGGCAAAUGGGCGGAAAGCCUGACCCAGCCAUGCCGCGUGAAGGAAGACGGCCUUAUGGGUUGUAAACUUCUUUACUAUGCGACUAACUAGAUUUACGAGAUAAUUCUAUAGAAUGUAGCAUAGCAAAAAGCAACC
rnacentral:rRNA from 1 species